AGCGAACGUUAGCGGCACGCCUAACACAUGCAAGUCGCACGAGAAAGGGAGCAAUCCCCGGUACAGUGGCGCACGGGUGAGUAACACGUAGAUGACCUUCCCUGGAGUGGUGGAUAACCUGCCGAAAGGCGGGCUAAUACAGCAUGGGACCACAUGGUUUUGACCGAGUGGUGAAAGCGGGCCUCUGUUCACAAGCUCGCGCUCUGGGAUGGGUCUGCGUCCCAUCAGCUAGUUGGUGAGGUAAUGGCUCACCAAGGCAUCGACGGGUAGCUGGUCUGAGAGGAUGACCAGCCACACUGGAACUGAGACACGGUCCAGACUCCUACGGGAGGCAGCAGUGGGGAAUCUUGCGCAAUGGGCGAAAGCCUGACGCAGCGACGCCGCGUGGGUGAUGAAGGCC
rnacentral:rRNA from 1 species